GAUUCGGCGCUCCAUUUUUCUGGGAUGGCAGUGCUGUCGCCCCAAACCCCCAGCUUGCUGCUCAGCCCCUUCCUUCACCGCCCCUGCACAGGACUUCCUGACUUGGGGGGUUUAUGAUGUGUAGGAGGGGGCGGGAGGGAAGGUGAGGCACCCCUUCCUCACCCCUGAGACUGAGGGAGAAUCUGGCUCCUGGCAGCCUACUCCAUCAAGUGCCACACUGUUCCUAGGUAGGAAAUUUUCUCCCUGAAGACUCCAUUUUCUCGUCCCCAAGUCCCCAGCCCCUGGGGAUGAGGUGGGGGCACCCAAGGUCUCCCAACCGCUGGUUGAUUCCUCCUGACUGCACGUCCUAGGUUGGGAGGGAGCGGGUGGCCAUCGGUUUCUGCACCCUCCUUUCCUUUCCACGUGACCCCCUAGGGGUUCUGAAUCCCCAUCUCCCGGUGCACCCAGACCCCCAGGAGUGUCAGACUGGAAAGGAUGGUGAUGGAUGAGGAAACAGGCUGGGAGAGGGGAGUGUCCUCUGCAUGGUCUUUCAGGUUAGUGGCAGAGCUGGACUCUUCUUCACAUACCCCACCCCUCCCCUUGUUUCUUUCAAAUACCAAGAUCAAAGCCCAGGUUCGCUGUGGACCGGGAGCUCAGUCUUCCAAAUACUCUUGGCUAAAGUCCGGACAGGGCAGAAGGGGGCUGGGCACCAGAGGGGUGGGGAGCUGCCAGACUACUGGUUCAUACCUGAAACUGGGUUUCCCAACCGGACUUCUGCUGUCCCUCCCACCCCCAUCCUGCAGGGUCUCCUUCGAGGAUGGAAACAAAGCAUCCCAGGGUGGCCUUGCCAACGCCGCUGGCGGGGCUCAAUCCUCCCCGACCAAUGCCUGCCAGCCCGCGUGGAUUCCGAGCCCGGCUCCGGAAACCAGUCUGACCACUUCGCCCAUUUCCCAAGCCUCCCCGGGCGGCUGGCGGCCCGCUCCCAGGGUGGGGUGAACCCGGCUCGUUCGCAGCCUCCGCUGCUCCAGCGACUAAUGGAUUUGCCCAGAAGGCUACCGUCAAAGGGACACACCCGGUCACACUUUGGGGGCUUCCAGGUUGCUCCCCUCCCUGUCUUCCCCCAUCGUGAAAACUCCACGUGGUUGAAAACUCCACUCCCGGGCCUCAUCGCUGUUCACUUGCUGGGUCAGUCGCUGGCCCGGACAAUCCAAGCGAAGAGCCGAAGAGCCGCCUCCAGACAUGCCCCGGGCACACUGUUCCGGACUCGGCUGCCCUGGGGGCGCUUACAAUCGGGUCGGGACACCGAAUUGAGCCCUAGGAUUGAAUGUCAACCCUUUAGAAAGUGGCUGUUGUGGGAUCACAGUGUUGCCCCCAUGCGACCGAGGACGCAGAGGAAGAACAGCAGACCUCGAGGGAACCGCGGGCGGGAAAGGCCAGAGCAGUCCCACCGAAGUGGGAGGGUGGACAUGUGGCACCGAAGCCUUCCCUGCGCAAAUAUUUCAAAGGCUUCACCGACAAUUCACCAGGAUGCCCCCAAGAAAGCAACUGCGCCCCCGCGUCCAGCCCCCGGGUCCUGUCGAUGGGAACCCCCUAGAGGGCAGGGCUCCAGCUGCCCCGGUCCCACCCGCCACGUGGCGACGGCGCUGGCGCGCGCCAGCUGA
rnacentral:lncRNA from 1 species